rnacentral:lncRNA from 1 species
UAGUUUCGGUGUUGGCAUUUUGGGUAUGGAUAGCAGCUUGUACUGCGUUCUGAACAUUAUUUUGGCUGCAUUUGGCUUGUACGGCUUUUUAAAGCUUUGGUUUUGUAGCAGCUUUUCGUUCGUUCACCGUGUUUCAGCUUGGUGAAGCUUGUUAUUUGGAAAUUCACGCGUGAAGCUUGAUAGUUUUGGAUUUAGCGGCUCAAUAAAAUGAUCAUGGACUCAACACAAUGUAACAGUUCCCUGAACAUGAUUUAUUUGGAA